UUAAUAUAGAUAUGAAUGAUAAUAUUUCAAAUGUACAAUGUCCGCUCCAUAAUGAUUACUCUUUAUUAGGCCAAAACAUCAAUUGGUAUUUGAUAUAAGCGGGGAUCAAACCCCAGAUCUUUCAUUCAAUGACAAGAAAUUUUCCUAAUUGAACUAACUAAAACCCACUAUUUGACAUAUUUACAAUUAGAGCUACAGAACUAAUAUUGGUACAAUUAUAUUGUACUCUUCUGGAGAAGAUUCAAAGAGAUUUUUUGUGGGAAAGCUUUCAAGGAGAGCAUAAAAUUCAUCUGGUUAAUUGGUCCAUCGUUUGUUGACCAAUUUGACAAGGAGGUUUGGGUGUGAGGAAGUUGUUGUAUUUCAAUUAUGCUCUGUUACGUAAGUGACUAGCGAUAUGGGUUGGAUAGGGAUUCUUUAUGGAGGAAGGUUAUUGAUUGCAAAUAUGGUACAAACAAUAGUGCGCGGUACUCUGGUGAGGUAAUGGUGGGGCUUUGGAAACAUAACAGAUUGGGUGGGACCACUUUGCAUGGUUGCAUCUUCCAUUCGGUUUGAGGCAGGAUGUGGUUCUCAAAUUCAGUUUUAGAAACAAUUUUGGGAUGGAAGUGGUACUUUUCAAGACCACUAUCUGGAAUUAUUCAAUUUGUUAGAGAUCAAGAUGGUCAGCUGUCAGACUAUAUGGAGUGGGUGAAUGGUAGGUUACAUUGGAAACCGGUGUUUAUCAGAGAGGCACAAAAUUGGGAGUUGGAGUCAAUGGCUCACCCAAAGAAGGAUUUACAUCUAGGAGCUACUAUAGGGUGCUGCAAGCAAGCGUUGAGGUUACUUCCCUGUUUCCUUGGAAGUGUGUAUGAAAGUCUCUUUCCCCUCCUAGAGUUUCUUUUUAUGUUUGGGAGGUCACCCUAGGCAAAAUUUUGAUGACAGACAACCUGCGGAGGAGGGGUUUCCUUUUGGCAGAUUGG